rnacentral:rRNA from 1 species
AAGCACUUAUGACCAGACUUGGGCCGGUUGAUCAUCCGUCGUUCUCGGCGGUGCACUCUGCCGGCUCAGGCCAGCAUCAGUUUGGUCUGGGGGAUAAAGGCUUCGGGAAUGUGGCUCCUCCGGGAGUGUUAUAGCCCGUUGCGUAAUACCCUGGAUCAGACUGAGGUUCGCGCUCUGCAAGGAUGCUGGCGUAAUGGUCAUCAGUGA